CCUCAGGAUAGCUGGUGCAAUUAAAUAUUAUAUAAGAUAAUCUUAUCUGGUAAAGCGAAUGAUUAGAGGCAUUAGGGUCGAAACGAUCUUAACCUAUUCUCAAACUUUAAAUGGGUAAGAACCUUAUCUUUCUUGAUAUGAAGAUAUUUAUGAUAUAUUGUGCCCAGUGGGCCACUUUUGGUAAGCAGAACUGGCGCUGUGGGAUGAACCAAACGUAAUGUUAAGGCGCCUAAAUUUACAACUCAUACUGAUACCAUGAAAGGCGUUGCUUGCUUAAAACAGCAGGACGGUGGACAUGGAGGUCGUAAUCCGCUAAGGAGUGUGUAACAACUCACCUGCCGAAGCAACUAGCCCUUAAAAUGGAUGGCGCUCAAGUUGUAUGCCUAUACAUUACCGCUAAUAUAUAUGAUUUAUAAAUAUUUAUAUUAUAAAUUUUGAUUAGUGAGUAGGAGGGUACAAUGGUGUGCGUAGAAGUGUUUGGCGUAAGCCUGCAUGGAGCCGCCAUUGGCACAGAUCUUGGUGGUAGUAGCAAAUAAUCGAAUGAGAUCUUGGAGGACUGAAGUGGAGAAGGGUUUCGUGUGAACAGUGGUUGAUCACGAGUUAGUCGGUCCUAAGUUCAAGGCGAAAGUCGUAAAAUGUUAAAGUAAAAAUUUUUAUAUAUUAUACUUUAUAUAAAUUUUAAUGAACGAAAGGGAAUACGGUUCCAAUUCCGUAACCUGUUGAGUAUACGUUUGUAAUUAAAAAUGGGCUUUAAUGCUCAUCCUGGUAACAGUAACAACCAUAAAGCAGCCGUCGAGAGGUAUCGAAAGAGUUUUCUUUUCUGUUUUAUAGUUGUAUUACCAUGGAAGUCUUUCGAAGAGAGAUAUGGUAAAUGGACUAGAAGAGCAUGGCAUUUACUGCUGUGUCGAUAUUUUCUCCUCGGACCUUGAAAAUUUAUGGUCGGGCCACGCAAAUUUCUUAACAGGCCGUACCGAUAUCCGCAGCUGGUCUCCAAGGUGAAGAGUCUCUAGUCGAUAGAAUAAUGUAGGUAAGGGAAGUCGGCAAAUUAGAUCCGUAACUUCGGGAUAAGGAUUGGCUCUGAAGAUUGAGAUAGUCGGGCUUGAUUGGGAAGCAAUAUUAUGGUUUAUGUACUCGUUCUGGGUAAAUUAGAAUGAAGUUUAUAUUUUAGAUGUAAAUGGAAUUUGUUCCCCGGAUAGUAGUUUACGUAACCAAUUGCGGAACUUUCUUGCUAAUAAUAUAUUAGAAAAAAGGAAUGUAAAUUUAUAUAUUUAUAACGGCUAUCAAUUAACAAUCAAUUCAGAACUGGCACGGACUUGGGGAAUCCGACUGUCUAAUUAAAACAAAGCAUUGUGAUGGCCCUAACGGGUGUUGACACAAUGUGAUUUCUGCCCAGUGCUCUGAAUGUCAAAGUGAAGAGAUUCAAGUAAGCGCGGGUAAACGGCGGGAGUAACUAUGACUCUCUUAAGGUAGCCAAAUGCCUCGUCAUCCAAUUAGUGACGCGCAUGAAUGGAUUAACGAGAUUCCUACUGUCCCUAUCUACUAU
rnacentral:rRNA from 1 species